rnacentral:rRNA from 1 species
UACGUAGGGUGCGAGCGUUGUCCGGAAUUAUUGGGCGUAAAGAGCUUGUAGGCGGUUUGUCGCGUCUGCUGUGAAAAUCCGGGGCUCAACCCCGGACUUGCAGUGGGUACGGGCAGACUAGAGUGUGGUAGGGGAGACUGGAAUUCCUGGUGUAGCGGUGGAAAUGCGCAGAUAUCAGGAGGAACACCGAUGGCGAAGGCAGGUCUCUGGGCCAUACUGACGCUGAGAAGCGAAAGCAUGGGGAGCGAACAGG